GAUGAAGAACUUAGCGAAAUGCGAUAAGUAAUGUGAAUUGCAGAAUUCAGUGAAUCAUCGAAUCUUUGAACGCACAUUGCGCCCGCUAGUAUUCUGGCGGGCAUGCCUGUCCGAGCGUCAUUUCAACCCUCAAGCCCCCGGGCUUGGUGUUGGGGAUCGGCGAGCCUCCGCGCCCGCCGUCCCCUAAAUCUAGUGGCGGUCUCGCUGUAGCUUCCUCUGCGUAGUAGCACACCUCGCACUGGGAAACAGCGCGGCCACGCCGUUAAACCCCCAACUUCUGAACGUUUGACCUCGGAUCAGGUAGGAAUACCCGCUGAACUUAAGCAUAUCAAUAACGGAGGA
rnacentral:misc_RNA from 1 species